GACGAACCGUGCGAACGUUGUUCGGAAUCACUGGGCUUAAAGGGCGCGUAGGCGGUUCUAUAAGUCAGGCGUGAAAUUCCUGGGCUUAACCUGGGGGCUGCGCUUGAGACUGUGGGACUUGAGGUCAGAAGAGGGUCGUGGAAUUCCCAGUGUAGAGGUGAAAUUCGUAGAUAUUGGGAAGAACACCGGUGGCGAAGGCGGCGACCUGGUCUGAUACUGACGCUGAGGCGCGACAGCGUGGGGAGCAAACAGG
rnacentral:rRNA from 1 species